UUUUUUUUCUUUGAGACAAGGUCUUUUACUGUGCCUUCUUUCUCCACUUCUUGGAGCAUUGGGUUACUGGCAUGUAUACAGCCACACUCAGCUUUUUACGUGAAUGCUGGGGUUUUGAACUUAGAUCCUUAUCCACCCAACCCUCUCCCCAGCCCUGAAGUAUUUGGACCUGCCUUUAUAACUGGAGCCCUCCAAGAAAACACUGAACUCAGACCAUCAAGCUUGGCACAAGUACCUUCACCCACUGAGCCCUUUUACCAGCUCAAACCAGUUUUUAAAAUAAAGAUCAACUGGAAGCCAAUACUCUUAAAGGCCUGUAGCCAGAGGGUCUUGCUGUUGAUCUGUACAACUGGAAGAGAUGUCUUAUGGUUUUGUUUUCUGGGCACUUCAACUCUGUUGCUUAACUGCAAACCUGACCAAACAUAAGUGGCUGUGCUGGCUUUGAAAUCCAGUCACCUCCUGCUCAAGAAUCCCUAUGAUAUCACUCAACCUCCACCAAAAAGCUUAGAACAUGGUUUGCAUCAAAUCAGCGUGAGUGGGAGAGGCUAACUAUUGUGUGCUGGUAAACUGGGUAUUGCUAUAGGUCUGCAGUGCCAACCAUGUGACCCUUGGUAGAUUUUAGCACGUUUAAGGCACAGGACCUAGCUAGGCAUGGCAGAUGCUUGUGUGCUCACUGAACUGAACUAAAGCAUGAGUUACUGAGUCAGAGUAAGUAGAUUAGCCCAUGGUCUCUUGGGGACCAGCUUCUCCUUCCUGAUUGUUGAUGUCAGGGAAGUUGAACUGAGCAGGAAGAAAUUUUGCCUCAACUCGUCACGGGACCCAGAACACAUUUGACCUGAACACUCUGACUCCGAGUCAGAAGGAGGCCCAGACAUACUUGAUGCCUUUGCCCAAACAUCCAGAAGCCUGAGACUCAUCAUUUAUUAUGUGAGGUAUUAAGUUACUUGGGCAUGAUUUAUGAACUCAAUGCGUAACUGUUUACAAAGUAUCCUCCACUUCCCAGGCUAUCCAGAAGGAGCUGGAAGAAACCAAGCUGAAAGCAGGCAGGUAGGUGACCUCAAGGAGCUCUGAUUUGUCUCCCACGGUACUCUGCUCAUUUGGAGGCUGUUAACUGUUUACUGGGUAUUAGGGUUCAAAUCAUCACUUGCCACCUGAAGUUACCAGCCUUGGGGUAUCUUUCUGGGAAUCCUCUCAGGCCCAUGCAAGGGACAGAGGCCCUAAGGAAUUAGGACUUUCUUUAGACAGUACAUAGCUAGGUCCCUUCUUGGCCAUGAGGAGUCACCUGUGUUCUUGGGGGAGUCCCUCUGCCAGGAGCCAUUCUCUGUCCCCGACUUCAUUGGCUCCAUCGGUGUCUGAACAGACGUGCAUUUAGGCCCAGCCCAGCCUUGGUGCCCAGCAGCCAUGCAUCUUUUUUCUAUACCACACUUUCUGUACCUAGUGCUGGUGGU
rnacentral:lncRNA from 1 species